UGACGCCUGUUCCUCUCGCUGCUCUGAGCUGUGGCAGCUGGGAUUUUAGGGCGUCACAGAGUAAAGCAGGGUCUAUUUCACCCAGUGUUCAUGAGGUAGCAGGGCUGCCAUUGUCUACGUUGGACUUUUGCGAGACCCCACACUU